AUUGGAUGAGCCCGCGGCCUAUCAGCUUGUUGGUGGGGUAACGGCCUACCAAGGCUUCGACGGGUAGUUGGCGUGAGAGCGUGGCCAACCACACUGGGACUGAGACACGGCCCAGACUCCUACGGGAGGCAGCAGUGGGGAAUAUUGCGCAAUGGGCGAAAGCCUGACGCAGCGACGCCGCGUGGGGGAGGAAGGCCCCAGGGUUGUAAACCCCUGUCAGGUGGGACGAACCACGGAUCGGCUAAUACCCGGUCCGCCUGACGGUACCACCAGAGGAAGCUCCGGCUAACUACGUGCCAGCAGCCGCGGCCGAAU
rnacentral:rRNA from 1 species